rnacentral:misc_RNA from 1 species
AGUUUCUCACGUUGUCCACUAACUACCUAAACCGCACUAUACAGGCAAAUCUGUCCCUCAUUUUUACAGUUUUUUCAGCCUCUCCGAUCUUAAACAAUUUCUAUCCUUUAAUUUCCUUUGCAAAGAUGACCAACAACAACACUGACUCUGCUCUGGAAUUCAAUUUCCCAUCAUAUUCUUCAGUCCCUGCUGCGAUCCUAUUCCACCACCAUCAGAAAAUGCGUAAGAAGCGUACCAAGUUGAUCAAGGUUGAACCCAGUUUAGUUCCUUCUACUAGUAGCGUUACUGUUGUCUCCAAGCCAAAAUAUCAGGGUAAAAAACCUGACCCUUCUGCUCCCAAGAUCACAAUGCCUUGUAGCGAGUGUGGUAAA